rnacentral:rRNA from 1 species
UGAGGAAUAUUGGUCAAUGGGCGAGAUUUUGAACCAGCCAAGUAGCGUGCAGGAUGACGGCCCUAUGGGUUGUAAACUGCUUUUGUAUGGGGAUAAAGUCAAUCACGUGUGAUUGUUUGCAGGUACCAUACGAAUAAGGGCCGGCUAAUUCCGUGCCAGCAGCCGCGGUAAUACGGAAGGUCCGGGCGUUAUCCGGAUUUAUUGGGUUUAAAGGGAGCGUAGGCUGGAGAUUAAGUGUGUUGUGAAAUGUAGACGCUCAACGUCUGACUUGCAGCGCAUACUGGUUUCCUUGAGUACGCACAACGUUGGCGGAAUUCGUCGUGUAGCGGUGAAAUGCUUAGAUAUGACGAAGAACUCCGAUUGCGAAGGCAGCUGACGGGAGCGCAACUGACGCUUAAGCUCGAAGGUGCGGGUAUCGAACAGGAUUAGAUACCCUGGUAGUCCGCACAGUAAACGAUGGAUGCCCGCUGUUGGUACCUGGUAUCAGCGGCUAAGCGAAAGCAUUAAGCAUCCCACCUGGGGAGUACGCCGGCAACGGUG